GAGUGAUCCUGCGCCGAAGAGUUCCGGGGCUAAAACUUACUACCGCAGCUACGGCAUCAGUAAUGAGGGGUAGGGGAGCGUCCCAUACGGGUUGAAGCAUGACCGGAAGGACAUGUGGACAGUAUGGCUGUGAGAUUGUUGGCAUGAGUAGCGAGAUGUGGGUGAGACUCCCACCAUCCGUACACCCAAUGUUUCCAGGGGAAGGUUCGUCCGCCCUGGGUUAGUCGUGACCUACGCUGAGGCCGUCAGGCUUCGGUUCUGGACAACAGGUUGAUAUUCCUGUACUACCGAUAACCAUUUGAGAGCAGGGAUGACACAGUAGGAUAAGCAAAGCAAUCUGUUGAUAAUUUUUGACCCAUGAUUGACGAACUCAACGUUGCACCAGACGCUUUGUUAAUACUGGGAUGUCAUAGUGCGCGCAA
rnacentral:rRNA from 1 species